rnacentral:rRNA from 1 species
AGUGAACGCUGGCGGUAGGCCUAACACAUGCAAGUCGAACGGCAGCACAGAGGAGCUUGCUCCUUGGGUGGCGAGUGGCGGACGGGUGAGGAAUACAUCGGAAUCUACUCUGUCGUGGGGGAUAACGUAGGGAAACUUACGCUAAUACCGCAUACGACCUACGGGUGAAAGCAGGGGACCUUCGGGCCUUGCGCGAUUGAAUGAGCCGAUGUCGGAUUAGCUAGUUGGCGGGGUAAAGGCCCACCAAGGCGACGAUCCGUAGCUGGUCUGAGAGGAUGAGCAGCCACACUGGAACUGAGACACGGUCCAGACUCCUACGGGAGGGAGCAGUGGGGAAUAUUGGACAAGGGGCGCAAGCCUGAUCCAGCCAUACCGCGUGGGUGAAGAAGGCCUUCGGGUUGUAAAGCCCUUUUGUUGGGAAAGAAAUCCAGCUGGCUAAUACCCGGUUGGGAUGACGGUACCCAAAGAAUAAGCACCGGCUAACUUCGUGCCAGCAGCCGCCGCAG